rnacentral:rRNA from 1 species
UACGGGGGGGGCAAGCGUUGUUCGGAAUUACUGGGCGUAAAGGGCUCGUAGGCGGCCAACUAAGUCAGACGUGAAAUCCCUCGGCUUAACCGGGGAACUGCGUCUGAUACUGGAUGGCUUGAGUUUGGGAGAGGGAUGCGGAAUUCCAGGUGUAGCGGUGAAAUGCGUAGAUAUCUGGAGGAACACCGGUGGCGAAGGCGCAUCCUGGACCAACACUGACGCUGAGGAGCGAAAGCCAGGGGAGCAAACGGG